CGGACCCCAGGUCCCCAGGCGGGAACACCCGCUGAGUUAAGCAUAUCAAUAAGCGGAGGAAAGAACUUACCAGGGUGAUUCCCCUAGUAACGGCGAGCGAACCGGUUUAAUGGCCCAACUUGAGAAUUCGGGCGCCCUCGGCGUCCGAAUUGUAGUCUGGCAGAGCGUCCUCGAGCGGCGGACCGGGCCAAAGAACCCUGGAAGGGGGCGCCGGAGAGGGUGAGAGCCCCGUCGUGCCCGGACCCUGUCGCACCACGAUGGCGCUGUCUGCGAGUCGGGUUGUUUUGGGAUGCAGCCCCAACGGGCGUAAAUUACCGUCCAUAGGCUAAAGUACGUGCGAGAGACCGAUAGGCGAACAAAGUACCGCGAGGGAAAGAUGAAAAGGACUUUGAAAAAGAGAGUCAAAGAGUGGUUUGAAAUUGUCGGGAGGGAAGCGGAUGGGGGGCCGGCGAUGCGAACCCGGUCGGAUUGUGGAAGCGGCGACACCGUCGUGGACUCGGACGCGACAGACGCGGAUACGCGGCGGCGGCCCAAGCCGGGCACUAGAAACGCCCGCGGAGACGCCGUCGCAGCGAGAAUCGUAGGACAUCAGCAGCGCGGCCGUCACGGCGUCCCCGCGGCAGCCGCGCGCUCCUUCUGGCGUCGGCCACGGCUCCCAUUCGGCCCGUCUUGAAACACGGACCAAGAGUCUGACAUGUGUUGGCGGAGUCAAGCGGCGAGUAAACCCGUAAGGCGCAAGGAAGCUGACUGGCGGGAUCCCCUCGAGGGUUUGCACCGCCGACUCGAUUCCUCGAUCUUCUUGAGAAGGGUUUCGAGUGAAGAGCAGAUGCCUGUCGGGAAAAUCCUCGAAAGAUGGUGAAACUAUGCCUGAAGCGGGGCGAAGCCAAAGGGAAAUCCCUUGGUGGAGGCCCGCAGAGAUACUGGACGUGCAAAUGUUCGUUCUGACUUGGGUAUAGGGGCGAAAGACUAAUGAAACCGUCUAGUAGCGUUUCCCUCCGAAGUUUCCCUCAGGAUAGCUGGAGCUCCGGGACGAGUUUUCUAAUCGGUAAGCCAAUGAUUAAGGCAGUCGGAGGCGCAACGCCCUCAAGACUCCUACUCUCAAAACUUUAAUAGGGUAGGACGGCGCGGUCUGCUUCGCUGAGCGGCGCCAACGGAUUCGAGAGGCUCCAAGUGGGCCAUUUUUGGUAAAGAACUGCGAUGCGGGAUGACGGAAGCCCCGGUUACGGUCCAACUGCGGCGCUAACCCAGAACCCACAAAGGGUGUUGGUCGAUUAAGACAUGCAGGACGGUGGUCAUGGAAGUUCGAAAUCCGCUAAGGAGUGUGUAACAAACUCACGCUGCCGAUCAACUAGCCCCUGAAAUGGAUGGCGCUUAAGCGCGCGACCUAUACCCGGCCGUCGGGGCAAGAGCCCAGCCGAUGAGUAGGAGGGCGCGCGGCCCGCUGCAAAACCCGGGGCGCGAGACCCGGGGCGGAGCGGCCGUCGUGCAGAUCUUGGUGGUAUGUAGAAAAUAUUCAAAUAGAGAAUUUGAAGGCCGAAGAGGGGAAAGGUUCCAAUGUGAACGGCGACUGUGCAAACAUUGGGUUAUGUCGAUCCUAAGAGACGGGGGAGCCGUCCGACAGCGCGUCCGCGCGCCGAGCUUCGAAAGGGAAUCGGUUAAAAUUCCCGAACCGGGACGCGGCGGCUGACGCAACGUUGGAGUCCCGGAGACGUCGGCGGGGGCCCUCGGGAAGAGUUAUCUUUCUUGUUUAAACAGGCCUCCGCCACUCCUGGAAACGACUCAGUCGGGAGGUAGGGCCGGCCGAAGAGCACGCACGUCGCGCGGUUCCGGUGCGCCCCCGGCGGCCCGUGAAAAUCCGGAGAGACGAGUGCCCUCCCGCGCCGGUCUGUACUAUAACCGCAUCAGGUCUCAAGGUGAAACAGCCUCUGGCCAUGGAACAAUGUAGGCAAGGGAAGUCGGAAACGGAUCGUAACUCGGGAAAAGGAUUGGCCUGAGGGCUGGGCCCGGGGUCCCAGUCCGAAACACGUCGGCUGUCGCGGACUCAUCGAUGCUGCUCCCGCGGCGAGAGCGGGUCGCCGCGUGCCGGCCGGGGGAGGACUGGGAACGGCCCUCCGGGGGGGCCUUCUCCCGGGCGUCGAACAAGUCGAUCUCAGAACUGGUACGGACUAAGGGGAAUCAGACUGUUUAAUUAAACAAAAGCAUUUGCCGAUGGUCCUGCGGAUCUCACGCAAUGUGAUUUUCUGCCCAGUGCCUGAAUGUCAAGUGAAAGAAAUUCAACCAGCGCGGUAAAGCGGGGUAUACUAAUGACUCUCUUAAGGUAGCCAAAAUGCCUCUCAUCUAAUUAGUGACGCGCAUGAAGGAUUAAAACGAGAUUCCCACUGUCCCUGCUACUAUCACCACGAAACCACAUGCCAAGGGAACGGGCUGGGCGGAAUCAGCGGGGAAAAGAGACCCCUGUUGACUCUUGACUCUAGUCCGACGUUUGUGAAAUGGACUUGAGAGCGUGUAGGAUAAGUGGGAGCCGAAACGGCGACUAGGUGAACAUACCAUACUUUACUUAUUUUAACUUAUCGUGAAUCGGAGGCGGGCUCGCCCCCUUUUUGGACCAAAGGCCGCCACGCGGCCGAGCCGGGCGGAAGACAAUUGGUCAGGUGGGGGAGUUUGGCUGGGCGGCACAUUCUGUUAAAAGAUAACGCAUGGUGUCCUAAGAUGACUCAACUGAGAAAAAUCUCGUGUGGAACCAAAAGGGUAAAAGCUCGUUUGAUUCUGAUUUCCAGUACGAAUACGAACGUGAAAGCGUGGCCUAUUCGAUCUUUAGACCUUCGGGAAUUUGAAGCUAGAGGUGUCAGAAAAGUUACCACAGAUAAACCUGCGCUCUGUGGCGCCAAGCGUUCAUAGCGACUGUGCUGUUUUGAUCCUUCACGAUGUCGGCUCUUACCUAUGAUGGUGAAGCAGAAUUCAACCAAAAGUUUGGAAUUGUCACUACACCAAUAGGGAACGUGAGGCUGGGUUUAGCCGUCGUGAGACAGGUUUAGUUUUACCCUACUGAUGAACCUGCGUCGGCGAUGGUAAGUUCAACUAGUACGAGAGGAACCGUUGAUUCGCACAAUUGGUCAUCGCGCUUGGUUGAAAAGCCAGUGGCGCGAAGCUAAACCGUGCGCUGGAUUAUGACUGAACGCCUCUAAGUCAGAAUCCGGGCCCAGAAGCGACGACGUGGUCACCGGCGCCCGCUUGCCGACCCGCAGUAGGGGCCCUCCCCCCCAGAGGCACGUGCCGUUGGCCAAGCCCCCGCGGCGGACGAGCCGCGCGGCCGCCUUGAAGUACUAUUCCCACCGGGCGUCGGGCAGAAUCCUUGCAGACGACUUAAUACGGCGACGGGGAUUGUAAUGGCAAAGAGGUGGCCUUGCUGCCACGAUCCACUGAAUUCAGCCUUUUGUCGCUCCGAUUCGU
rnacentral:rRNA from 1 species